UACGGGGGGGGCAAGCGUUGUUCGGAAUUACUGGGCGUAAAGGGCCAGUAGGCGGCCAACUAAGUCGGAUGUGAAAUCCCCAGGCUUAACCUGGGAACUGCAUCCGAUACUGGAUGGCUUGAAUCCGGGAGAGGGAUGCGGAAUUCCAGGUGUAGCGGUGAAAUGCGUAGAUAUCUGGAGGAACACCGGUGGCGAAGGCGGCAUCCUGGACCGGCAUUGACGCUGAGGCGCGAAAGCCAGGGGAGCAAACGGG
rnacentral:rRNA from 1 species